GCCAUCUUGAGAAGUCAUGUGUAGGUGGUCGGUCCCAUUGACAACCUCAAAUGAGCUCCCAGCCAACAACCAGCAUCAACUGCCAGUCAGCUUUCGAUGCCAUUGUAUCUGACAUCAUUCUAACAGGAUCAAAUUGAGCAACAACAGCAACCUAAAAAUGAGAAAGCAUGGCUACUUGGAACAAGAUGAAGAAAUAAAGCUUACGGAGGUUAAGUAAAUGACCUGUUCCCAGUGCCGGAAACAGAUGGCACACUGAAAAUUAGGAUAAGUUAAGAAGAAUGUAAUAAGCGGACAACCGACAAAGGAGGGUGGGAAUGCAGGGCAACCGCAAGGGCUCAUACAGUGCUGGGUGAGGAGGACC